GCGGUAGCUACCAUGCAGCCGAGCGGUAUUGUUUCUUCGGAACGAGAGAGCGGCGCACGGGUGCGGAACACGUGUGCAACCUGCCUUUAUCUGGGGGAUAGCCUUUCGAAAGGAAGAUUAAUACCCCAUAAUAUUUUGAAUGGCAUCAUUUAAAAUUGAAAACUCCGGUGGAUAGAGAUGGGCACGCGCAAGAUUAGAUAGUUGGUAGGGUAACGGCCUACCAAGUCAGUGAUCUUUAGGGGGCCUGAGAGGGUGAUCCCCCACACUGGUACUGAGACACGGACCAGACUCCUACGGGAGGCAGCAGUGAGGAAUAUUGGACAAUGGGUGAGAGCCUGAUCCAGCCAUCCCGCGUGAAGGACGACGGCCCUAUGGGUUGUAAACUUCUUUUGUACAGGGAUAAACCUAUUUACGUGUAAAUAGCUGAAGGUACUGUACGAAUAAGCACCGGCUAACUCCGUGCCAGCAGCCGCGGUAAUACGGAGGGUGCAAGCGUUAUCCGGAUUUAUUGGGUUUAAAGGGUCCGUAGGCGGAUCCGUAAGUCAGUGGUGAAAUCUCAUAGCUUAACUAUGAAACUGCCAUUGAUACUGCGGGUCUUGAGUAAGGUAGAAGUAGCUGGAAUAAGUAGUGUAGCGGUGAAAUGCAUAGAUAUUACUUAAACCACCAAUUGCGAGGGCCGGUUACUAUGUCUUAACUGACGCUGAUGGACGAUUUCGUGUUUUUCGAACUA
rnacentral:rRNA from 1 species